rnacentral:rRNA from 1 species
GGAAUUUUGGACAAUGGGCGCAAGCCUGAUCCAGCCAUGCCGCGUGCAGGAUGAAGGCCUUCGGGUUGUAGACUGCUUUUGUACGGAACGAAAAGGUUUGACUUAAUACGUUGGCCUCAUGACGCUACCGUAAGAAUAAGCACCGGCUAGCUACGUGCCAGCAGCCGCGGUAAUACGUAGGGUGCGAGCGUUAAUCGGAAUUACUGGGCGUAAAGCUUGCGCAGGCGGUUAUGUAAGACAGAUGUGAAAUCCCCGGGCUCAACCUGGGAACUGCAUUAGUGACUGCAUAGCUGGAGUACGGCAGAGGGGGAUGGAAUUCCGCGUGUAGCAGUGAAAUGCGUAGAUAUGCGGAGGAACACCGAUGGCGAAGGCAAUCCCCUGGGCCUGUACUGACGCUCAUGCACGAAAGCGUGGGGAGCAAAC